AGCCCAGGCUCAGACCCCCCUCGGCUUCCAGCACUCUCACUCCCGGCGGUGCCACUGUACUGACCAGAUGUUGCUGUCCGAGCCGGGAGGACAGAGAGUUUGCAGAAUUUGGAACGCGGGAGCCAGGACCCACACCCGAGUCACACCGGCGCCCUAGGAGGUUAGAGAAGGCAAGGUGGCAGGACACCCGCGUGUACAAAGCGCGUGAGCGCGCGACUGCGCGUGUAAAAGGUGGGUGGGGGGCAUUCACCAUCUCGGACCAGAAAGGGAACCAGAGCCUUGGACUCGCCCCAGUCACCUGUCCACCAAAGCUGGUGCGCACAGCCUUCAAGCCUGGUCCCGUCCGAUCCGGGAGAGCCAUGAUCGCUUCCCGGGGACCCUGGGCCCCGCCGCCGGAUGAGAACCUCUUUCACCCUCCUCUCUCCUUCUUACCCGGGCUCCGGUAGAACCGACGCGGGCAGACGGGGCGGCAGCAAGACCCAGCCUCCAGCGGCCGCCAGAAGCGCCAUGAAAGCGCAGCACGCGGCCAAGCCCGAUCCUCCGGCUUCCAGCGCGGGGAGCGCGGGCGGCCCCACUCCGCUUGCCCCAGCCCUGCCCGACCCCUCGAGCGCCCCUCCGUGGGCUGCGGCGCCCGCAGCGCAGCCAGGCAUCCGAGCCAAGCUGCCUUCCCGCCGGUGGCCGUCCGCGGACAGGUGUCCAGCUCCGCUCGGACCCGGGCCCGGCUGCACAGACCUCUUUCACAGCUACGCCCCUGUCCCGGAACGGUCCCAGGGACUCUCGGUGCAGACUCCGGUUACACACUGUAAAUUCAACUUUACCUCCUGCCCGGGCUCCCAGCUGCUCGCUCUGCGUGCCGGGCCGUGGCUCUCCUCCGGGUGGAGCGCAGCGUCCCCAGAGCCCACAGCUCAGAGUCCGGCACCGCCCCGUGAGCCGCCCCCAGGCCGCCCUGGCCAGCGAGUCCCCGCUACGGUAGCGCGGCGCCCCCUCGUGCCCAGCGGGUCCCAGGGCGAGGCCCCCACUGUGGCUUGGGAAGCUCCAGGCUGGGCUCUUUGGGCACUGUGUGGGACCAUGGAGGGACAAAGGCAUGGCUUCCGCACCCAGGCACCCAAACACAUGGGCUUCUACACUCACAUUCAGCCGCACUCAAAAAGGCACACAGGUGCACUCACAUGAAUUCACAAGCUCACCAGAACUCACGUUCACCACCCAUACACACCUGAGGGUCGUCAUACAAUCACAUAGGCACACGCACAUGGUUUAUGCAUAAGCGCUUGAUCACACAUACAUGGGAGCUAAUAGUGCAUACAUGAGACACACUGGUGCACACCCUCACACACAGCUAUUUGUAUAGCUCAAGCCAAGUAAGGAACCCACUCACCUGAAUUCAGAGCCCAUGCCAUUUGAGACGCGUGGACUGGCCCCUCCGAAGCCGUGCUCCAGGGGAAGGAAACAAGCUCUUUCAAACAAACUCCAGAGACAUUUAGGAUGGGAAUGUAGUUUUCCAGUCUACGGACAAGUUCCAACUGUGAGAUCUGGAGAUCCAGCAAGCAGAGGCUCUGCGAUCCUUCCUAUGACAGGGGUAUUUUAUGGAUCCGGUGGCGGGAGGCCUCUGGUGGCUACUGUGUCACUGUUUGCAUGGAGAGGGCGAUAUUCUUUCCCAGCCUCUGUCCUGGAUUAGGCCUGGAAGAGAGGCGUUUUCUCCUUGGAAACCGUUCAUUGGAUUUAGAGCCCAGGCUCUACUAACUACCCAGAGCCCAAGUCACCAAGUUCCUUCCACAGGAAAUGGCUGCUUCUGGGAUCUGUGACCUUUGAGGCAGUUCUGUUUGUCAACACAAUCUGUCGGGGGCGGAGGGGGGGCAGAUGCUCCUGGCCAGCCCUGUGGAUACUCAGUGACAGAGGUAGAACGAACUGGGAACGCCUCUGAUGCAUUGAUAAGCAGAUUGAUAAGCGAGGUAACUCAGCGGAAGCUCUCAGCUAGCGCCCAGCUGCACACGUUCUCAUAGGCACAGACAAUCCAGGUGGUUCCUGGACCGCUUAUUGUCUGGCCCUAUACUGUUCGUCUUGGGAGGAAAUGGCCAGGUCCAACUGCACCCUAGCCACCCUUUUAGACCCUCACUUUGUGCCAAGUCUCUGGGUCACAGUGACCACGCAGUGGAACUAGCCUGUCUCCCUCCCCCACUUUUGAAGAUUGUCAUUAUCCAUUCCUGACACCCUGCACAUUUGCAGACAACUUGACUCCCAGUCUCCAGGUCUUUACAUCCCACCUAGGCAGUUGUUGGGAUUCAUUUCCCUGAUCCGAUAUUCAGGUGGUUUUUUUCUUUGUUUGUUUGUUUUGGGUUUUUUCUUUUUGAUUCUUUGAAAUGUAGAUUAUUACAAUUUGUUCCUAUUAAAUUUCACCUUGUUCAUUUUUAUUUCAUAUUUAUUUUCGUGAGCUUGUCGGGUGCUUUAGGAUCUUAGAUUUACCCUGUUCCCUUGUCUCCUUGGACAGAUACAAACUUGACUGGUUGCCUGGCUCAUCCUCAGUAUGGGUCUUGUGCUGCAACAAGGCCCCGCACGGGAGUGCAGUCGGUGUUUCUGACAAGAACCAACUUCUGUGGGCCCAGAUAUCAGUGUCGGUGCUGGUCCCCACUUGGCUAUCCUAUCGGUCCAGCAUUUCCCAUGUGUUUUAGAAGGAUGCCAGCAUUGAUUUACUGUCCUCCGAAACUGAAAUAUAAUUGGUGGCACAAUUAAACCUUCGAGUCUACUACCAGUAUUGCACACAUACCAAAACAGGAAAGCGACCCUAGUGUGAUUUCAUCAUCGGUGUCCACCACUCUGAUUUGGUGUUUUGGAGAUCAGCGCAAGUAAGCUCCUCUGCCUGGGUUGCAUAGGAGUCUGUGUGUCCUUGAUCUCUCUCUGAGUGUCCUUGUGUGUACACCGAAAACAAUGGCAAGAAUUCCAUGUUGUCUCCUUUGGUAAUCUAGUUUGUUAUUGGGAAUGCCAGACUCACUGUAAGCAGGAAAAAAAAAAAGCUUGCAAAACACUAAAAUAAAAAGUUACAUAUUUCA